GAGGACAUCUAAUUGACAUACCACUUACCCCAGCUGCUAACCAUCAACAAUAACCCUGAGCCUAAUCCUAACCUUAACCUAACUGUAACCCUGACACUAAAAACUCAUUUUGAGCCUCAAACAUGUCUUCACACUUGUGGGGACGGGACUGUUGGUCCCCACAAGUAUAGUAGGAUUCCAGUUUUUGGAAAAGAUGUCUAAACACAUGGCCACACACACUGAGGUGGUGGUGUUGGACAGCCGCUCGGUGCUGCAGGAGGUGACGUGAUGAGGGUUAAAGGGCGUCCUCGAGCUCCUGCUGCCUCCUCACAUUUGAACUUUAAAUCUUGUUGCUCUGAUUUAACCGCCCGGCGCUGGGACGUUCUGUUCUGGACUCAUCGUCACAGAUCUCUGCAACAAUCCUGCCUCAGCUCUUUGGGCUGCAGCUUCUGCUCUGAGCCCUCUCUCCUCAUCCUCGGCCUUCGUCCCUCCAAAGCUGCAGACGUCUCUGCACAGCAGCACGAUGCUGACACACCUCAGCUCUGCUUUACGUCACAAAUCUGCCGCAGAGGGCUUCAGCCACACAGCAGCUGCAGAGGUGUCAGGUUUGAAUCCCAGCACGUGACCGCCGUGGUUUCACAUGUUCUGUUAUUCUGGAUUAUUCAGGAUUACAGAUUACUCAGAUUACUCUUACAUCUAAACAUCACCUCAGAACCUCUAAUGUGGUCUGAAGAUUUGAUCAUAGUUCAUUUAUUCAUCAUGUUUCUCUCUUUCUGAUGUUUGUACAUUAUGUGAAUAUUACUGUGUGACUCUUUAUCAUUAUUGUUAUUAGCAGCAGUAGAAGAACGUGUGAUUUUUAGGAUAUUCAGCUGCAGAUGUUUGAAUGUGUUUGAAGACCUUUGAGCUGCAGCUGUGCUGAUAAGUUGGAGGGGGACACAGUUUAAUGUGACACCACUCUCCACCUGCUGUAAGGCUAACGGCUAACUACCUGUGUGAUGGCCCAGAGCUGCAGCAGAGAGGAGACUGACGUCCCUCUUUAUCCUGAAACAGCGUCCGCACAUUUGAUUGGCUCUAGCUUCCAAAGUUUCUCCUGCUGUUACAAAGUGGCAGGAAGUGGAGCUGCUGCUGGAGAUAAAGCACAGAGCUGGGUGGUUACAGGUGUGACUCAGGUACCUUCUUCCUGUUUACAGCAGGAGGAGCCAGGAAGAGCUGGAGCUACAGCACGCCGUCGAUCACGCAGAAGAAGAAAAACACAACUGGACAAAAAUCACCUCGCAGUGUUUUAAACUAAAGAGGAACCCAGCAAUCAGCCCACAGCCUACGAGCAGCAGCGGGGGACAGUGGGGAGGAAGAACUGUCUUCAAACAGGAAGAAACUUGAAAGAGCUUGCAGAAUAAAACGUGAAUAAAUAAACAGCAUGAAUUUAUUUCACUUCUUUUUGAAAUUUCAAGUUAGGAAAACAGUAUUCACAAAUGUGCAGACUGAUAUUUACAUGUAUUUCUGUUACUGCAAACUUAAAACAAGUCAGCAAAAAAAUGUUACAAGAAGACUUUUCAAAAUAAAGAUCACAUUUUAUUCUGCAAGCUCCCAUGUCUUCACGUUCUCACAGAAACACUCAGUGCAUCAUGGGAAGUCAUCCAGCAGCCCGAGCCUGUAGCAGCUUGUAACAGCUACACAAAGUGAUACUAUACAACAGAGCGAGCUAACAACGCCGGGACCUCCAUGCCGUCUUUGUGUGAAUACACCUGUAGUACACU